rnacentral:rRNA from 1 species
UACGAAGGGGGCUAGCGUUGCUCGGAAUCACUGGGCGUAAAGGGUGCGUAGGCGGGUUCUUAAGUCAGAGGUGAAAUCCUGGAGCUCAACUCCAGAACUGCCUUUGAUACUGAGAGUCUUGAGUUCGGGAGAGGUGAGUGGAACUGCGAGUGUAGAGGUGAAAUUCGUAGAUAUUCGGAGGAACACCAGUGGCGAAGGCGGCUCACUGGUCCAUUACUGACGCUGAGGUGCGAAAGCGUGGGGAGCAAACAGG